GAUGAACGCUGGCGGCGUGCUUAACACAUGCAAGUCGAACGGUGAAAGAGAGCUUGCUCUCUGGAUCAGUGGCGAACGGGUGAGUGACACGUGAGCAAUCUGCCCCUGACUCUGGGAUAAGCGCUGGAAACGGCGUCUAAUACCGGAUACGAGCUGCGAAGGCAUCUUCAGCAGCUGGAAAGAAUUUCGGUCAGGGAUGAGCUCGCGGCCUAUCAGCUUGUUGGUGAGGUAAUGGCUCACCAAGGCGUCGACGGGUAGCCGGCCUGAGAGGGUGACCGGCCACACUGGGACUGAGACACGGCCCAGACUCCUACGGGAGGCAGCAGUGGGGAAUAUUGGACAAUGGGCGGAAGCCUGAUCCAGCAACGCCGCGUGAGGGAUGACGGCCUUCGGGUUGUAAACCUCUUUCAGCACAGACGAAGCGCAAGUGACGGUAUGUGCAGAAGAAGGACCGGCCAACUACGUGCCAGCAGCCGCGGUAACAC
rnacentral:rRNA from 1 species